rnacentral:rRNA from 1 species
UAAGGAAUAUUGGUCAAUGGGCGAGAGCCUGAACCAGCCAUGCCGCGUGCAGGAAGACGGCCUUAUGGGUUGUAAACUGCUUUUAUCGGGGAAUAAACCUAUCUACGUGUAGAUAGCUGAAGGUACCCGAAGAAUAAGCAUCGGCUAACUCCGUGCCAGCAGACGCGGUAAUACGGAGGAUGCAAGCGUUAUCCGGAUGCAUUGGGUUUAAAGGGUGUGCAGGCGGAUUGGUAAGUCAGUGGUGAAAUUCAACGGCUCAACUGUUGAUCUGC